CCCCCUCUACUGCCAGCUUUCCCUCCACAAUGUGCAGCCUUCAUAAACUGCCCUUCCUGAAACCAGAAGCCUGAACAAACCUCCACAGCAUUUCUCCGUUUCCCGUGGCCUGGGAAGAGAGUGGCCUACAGUCAGGGGGCUCCGCUUCAAGUUGUUUUAUCAUAUAUUUUGGUCACGUGACGAGAAAGGUAGUUCAUACUGCCACAUGCUCUGGUCACGCUCUGGGCCAUCUUCCCAGCAGCUUGGGUGGCAGCAACCAUCGGCCAUACAGAGCCCAGGAGGUUUCCAGCAGAAGGUGUGGCCCAGAUUAAAGAUACAAACCGCUACACCUGGAACUUGGACUUGCUUUGUCCCAGGCUGACCUUGAACUCAGAGAUCUCCUUGCCUCAGUCUCCUGGAAUUAAAGGUUGUUUUAAUUAAGGUGGGAAGACCCACUUGAAUGCAGGCAGAGGUUCCCAACAGAAGAAAAAGGAGAGAGUAAGCAGAGCACCAGCAUCCAUCUCUCAGCUUCCUGACUGUGGAUACAAUGUGACCAGCUGCCUCAUGCUUCUGCUGCCCUGCCUUCACUGCCAUGAUGGAAUGGACCCUCAAACUGUGAGCCAGAACCAGCCUUCCCUCUCCUAAGUUACCUGUGUCAGCCAGCUGCCACCUGUCCCACCUCUCUGGGUCUCACCACACUCACAACAAAGGGGUGACAAAUUGCAGCUGGCUGCCUGGGCACUGGAAAGAGCCAAUGAGGCGGUGUUGGUGGUCUGGAGACACCAGUGUUGGGACCCUGGAACUGGGCAGGGCAAGUUUCUCAAGCAUUUUGUUGCAACAAUCAGGAAGUAGGUACCCCAGGGUCCUGCCUGAGAUUGUGUGUCCACCACAGCCACCACAGCUGCCACGCCUCCGCAGGCUCUCCAGUCUGCAGUGGCUUUCCCAUUGCCUCUGGCUUGUAGUGAUUUUGACCAUUUUGGGGAGCACAGCCAAGGGGUUUAUGACAUGCUCCUACCACAGUGAGGAUUCCAGGAUAUUUAGGUCAUCAGACCUGAUGGCAAGUGUCUUUACCAGCUAAGUCAUCCCCUCAGCUGUGCCUCCCCAGCCCAUUGUGUGUGUGUGUGUGUGUGUGUGUGUGUGUGUGAGGGGGGGGGGUUGGUGUCUGUUCUGUGUGUCCCUGGCUGACCUCAACCUUACUAUGUACCCAAGGAUGACUCUGCCUCCACCUCUAAGGGAUGUAAUUUCAGGUUGUCUUAGAGUUACUAUUGCUGUGUUGAAACACCAUAACCAAAAAGCAAGUUGGGGAGGAAACAGUUUAUUUGGCUUACACUUCCACAUCACGGCUCAUCAUCAAAGGAUGCCAGCACAGGAACUCAAGCAGUGUAGAAACCUGGAGGUAGGAGAUGUUGCAGAGGCUACAGAGGCUACAUGUGUCUUCCCCAUGUCUUGCUCAGCCUGCUUUCUUAUAGAACCCAGGACCGCCAGCUCAGGGAUGCUCCCCACACACAAUGGGCUGGGCCAUCCCCUAUCAAUCACUAGCUAAGAAAACCCCUAUAGGGUUGCAUACCACUGGAUCUUAUGGAGAUAUUUUCUUAAUUGAAGUUC